UACAGAGGGUGCAAGCGUUGUUCGGAAUUAUUGGGCGUAAAGGGCGCGUAGGCGGUGCGGUAAGUCUGCGGUGAAAUCUCCCGGCUCAACUGGGAGGGGUCGUGUGAUACUGCUUGGCUUGAGCAAGGUAGGGGGCAGUGGAAUUCCCGGUGUAGUGGUGGAAUGCGUAGAUAUCGGGAGGAACACCAGUGGCGAAGGCGGCGACCUGGGCAGAUACUGACGCUGAGGUGCGAAAGCGUGGGGAG
rnacentral:rRNA from 1 species